CCUACGGGAGGCAGCAGUGGGGAAUAUUGCACAAUGGGGGAAACCCUGAUGCAGCGACGCCGCGUGAGUGAAGAAGUAUCUCGGUACGUAAAGCUCUAUCAGCAGGGAAGAAAAUGACGGUACCUGACUAAGAAGCCCCGGCUAACUACGUGCCAGCAGCCGCGGGAAUACGUAGGGGGCAAGCGUUAUCCGGAUUUACUGGGGGUAAAGGGAGCGUAGACGGCAGCACAAGUCUGGAGUGAAAUCCCGGGGCUUAACCCCGGAACUGCUUUGGAAACUGUGCGGCUGGAGUGCAGGAGGGGUAAGCGGAAUGCCUAGUGUAGCGGUGAAAUGCGUAGAUAUUAGGAGGAACACCGAUGGCGAAGGCAGCAUACUGGACUGUAACUGACGUUGAGGCUCGAAAGCGUGGGGAGCGAACAGGAUUAGAUACCCUAGUAGUC
rnacentral:rRNA from 1 species